rnacentral:SRP_RNA from 1 species
GAAAGUUGGUAGUAGACGAAUGUCCUUUUAAACAGGUCAGGUCCGGAAGGAAGCAGCCAUAGAAGGUCUCAUUCGGGUUAUUAUCAGCUUUCCAG